ensembl:rRNA 5S_rRNA 5S ribosomal RNA
GCCAGCAGCCAUAUCACCCUUCAACUCACAACUUGCAACCCACUGAAGCUAAGCAGGUGUGAGCCUGGUCAGUACCAGGAUGGGAGACCUCCUGGGAAACACUAAGGUUGCAGUUGGAA